rnacentral:rRNA from 1 species
GACGAAGGGGGCUAGCGUUGUUCGGAAUUACUGGGCGUAAAGCGCGUGUAGGCGGUUGCCCAAGUCGGGUGUGAAAGCCUUGAGCUCAACUCAAGAAAUGCACUCGAUACUUGGUGACUAGAGGACCGGAGAGGAUAGUGGAAUUCCCAGUGUAGUGGUGAAAUACGUAGAGAUUGGGAAGAACACCAGUGGCGAAGGCGGCUAUCUGGACGGUUUCUGACGCUAAGACGCGAAAGCGUGGGGAGCAAACAGG